GUGUUCAGUUGGGUCUGGCUACCGAGACCCAUGGACAAGACGAAGAAGGUUGGAAGGACAGAGAGAAUUCAUUGCUUUCCUGCUCUUUUCUUCUGGACCACAGGAAAACAUCAUGCUGAAAAAUACAAUCUGUGAACAAUUUCCCAAGAUAUUUCUUCAAGGGGUACAACCAUGGCCCAACAAGUUUCAGAAAUGGUAUUGCUAUGAGCUCUCUCCCUUGAUAUUUGUUGCUAAUAGUAGCUUAUUAGAUACUUUGUACCCAGCUAGAAUACAUGCCAUGAAUCCCCAUGAAGUCCCUCUUGAUCUUCAAACCUCAGGUAA